GUGAGGGCCCGGCGGGCGGUGCCUCACAGCCCUCCGCCUCUGGGAGUGGCCCAUUUCUACUAAGGAGGCAAGAGGUGGCCAGGAGUCUGUCAGCGAGUUCUGCAUGUCCUGGUGACCCUCCACCUGUUUCACAGUGUCACAGGGGAACUCGAGCCUAUCCAGCUAUCUUAGGGCGAGAAGCAGGGUACACCCUCCACAGGUCACCAGUCUGUUGCAGAGCUAACACAUAGACACAGAAAACCAUUCGCACCUGUGGGCGAUUUAGACUUUUCAACUAACCUCUUGCCACUAACUGCAGGUCGUUGGACUGUGGCAGGAAGCCGGAGUACAAGGAAAGAACCCACGCAAAAACAGGAAGAACAUGCAAACUCCACACAGAACCACGGUAGAGCUAAACUCAAGACCUUCUUCCUGUGCGGUAACGGUGCUAACCACUGUGCCGCCCGCAUAAGAGGAGAGCCACUGAGGGAACGCCUUCCGCCCUUCCGACGCCUCCACCGUGACUCCACUUCUGAGAGGAAUUGCCUACAGAUCAAGCAUGGAGUGUGCCUGAAUGGACAUA